CCAGACUACUAUUCCUUUCGAGAUUCAAGAUCUUAUAAGCCAGGAAGAGAGCAUGAAAGAUCCCAGCCAUGGAGAGGAGGUCAGUCAUCUAAAAGAGGUGCAAAAUCAAGAGGCGCCUCAUUCCACAAGAAUAUGACGGGUUCCCCCCCAGUCAGUAAGAGUGGGAGCACGUCUGUUACUUUUCCAAGAAGCAUGGGAACAAUCCACCACAGACAGAUG